GGGCGUUUGGUCUAGGGGUAUGAUUUUCGUAAGUCAGCCACAGCAGAUUCAAGAUCAAUACUCGCAGUCAAUACUGACACAUGCAGGCUUCGCACCACACAGCGCGCUUGUGAAAGGUCAUGGGUUCAAUUCCCAUAACGUCCA